AUUGAACGCUGGCGGCAUGCAUUACACAUGCAAGUCGAACGGCAGCACGGGAGCAAUCCUGGUGGCGAGUGGCGAACGGGUGAGUAAAGUAUCGGAACGUGCCCAGUCGUGGGGGAUAACGUAGCGAAAGUUACGCUAAUAACGCAUACGAUCUAUGGAUGAAAGCGGGGGAUCGCAAGACCUCGCGCGAUUGGAACGGCCGAUAUCAGUAUUAGGUAGUUGGUGGGGUAAAGGCUCACCAAGCCGACGAUCUGUAGCUGGUCUGAGAGGACGACCAGCCACACUGUGACUGAGACACGGCCCAGACUCCUACGAGAGGCAGCAGGGGGGAAUUUUGUACAAUGGGCGAAAGCCUGGUCCAGCCAGGCCGCGUGCAGGAAGAAGGCCUUCGGGUUGUAAACUGCUUUUGUACGGAGCGAAAAGUCUCUCUCUAAUACAGGGUGCUCAUGACGGUACCGUAAGAAUAAGCACCGGCUAACUACGUGCCAGCCGCCGCAGUAA
rnacentral:rRNA from 1 species